rnacentral:rRNA from 1 species
UGGGGAAUAUUGCACAAUGGGCGAAAGCCUGAUGCAGCAACGCCGCGUGAGCGAUGAAGGCCUUCGGGUCGUAAAGCUCUGUCCUAAAGGAAGAAUUUUUGACGGUACUUUAGGAGGAAGCCCCGGC